CUGGUGAGGAGAGGGAACAAACCAGCUCAGAAGAAAGUGGAGACACUCAGUAAAAGCGAACAGCUUUGUCAACAGGUGAUUCGCCUAUGCAGAUGUUCAGGAAGCCUGCUAAUGGACUGCUUCUACCAAAGGAGGAUUCAGUGACACUAUCAAAGGGUGGAAUACAAAGAUGAGCCACUGAGAAGAAAUGAAGAUCCUCCCCAUACCCGGAAAGGUUGGUCCUCGAUGAAAGGGAAGUAGGGGGAUGAGCUUCUCAGCGUCACCCCAGGUGCCCGAAACACAGGCCGUACGUAGGAACUGGAGGUCCUCGAACUUGGCACAGAGCUCCAAUGCCACGUCAGUGGGAGGAGCCUCAUCCACUGUGCCACACCCACAGGCCAGACUGAUGUCAAAGCUGGGUAACCACAAAGACCAAAAAAGUUUUGUUUCCUAGUUUUUCCCGGCUCUGGCCAUUCUGCCUGCCCUGACCCCGAGCCCGGCUGCUUUCCUGUACCUGCCUGACUCGGACCUGAUCACAAACCUCUGCCUGCUCUCGACCUGCCCUUUGCCUCCUCGGUGUUUCUAAUAAACAAUCUGAGAACUGUA